UCUUGGUCAUUUAGAGGAAGUAAAAGUCGUAACAAGGUCUCCGUUGGUGAACCAGCGGAGGGAUCAUUACCGAGUUUACAACUCCCAAACCCCUGUGAACAUACCUAUACGUUGCCUCGGCGGAUCAGCCCGCGCCCCGUAAAAAGGGACGGCCCGCCCGAGGACCCCUAAACUCUGUUUUUAGUGGAACUUCUGAGUAAAACAAACAAAUAAAUCAAAACUUUCAACAACGGAUCUCUUGGUUCUGGCAUCGAUGAAGAACGCAGCCCCCCCGUGCCCCCGCCCCGCCCGCCGCGCGCGGCGGGAU
rnacentral:rRNA from 1 species